rnacentral:lncRNA from 1 species
UUUCGCUGGGUAGAUUGACAUGACAGUCCAUUUCGUCCUAAUUUUAAUGUUUAUAGAAAUGUCCUCUUAAUUUUGCAUUCAAUCAAAUUUAGGCAGGGUAGUUUUGCUAGGUAGUUUGGCAUAACAGUCAAUUUUGUCCCAAUUUUAAUGCUUAUAGAAAUGUCUUCUUAAUUUUACAUUCAAUCUAAUUUUGGUAGGCCAGUUUGGCCGGAUAGUUUGCCAUUACAGUACAUUUCGUCCCGAUUUGAAUGCGUACAGAAAUGUUCUCUUAAUUUUGCAUUUAAUCAAAUUUUAACAACACAGUUUGGCUGGGUAGUUCGGCAUGACAGUCCAUU